CGGGUUGUCGCUGGUCCCAUUCUUAACAGAGUCGGGACAUGUGCACACCUGGCUUCAUUCCACUCUUCAACCCCUGUGCACUUGUUGUAGGUUUCAGGUCGGACGCGGGGCUUUCGACUUCAUCGUCGAGAGCUUCAAGGAAAGCCUGAGCCUAUGUUUUACUACACACACGCUUCAGUUAUAGAAUGUAAACAUCGCGUAUAACGCAUUUUAAAUACAACUUUCAGCAACGGAUCUCUUGGCUCUCGCAUCGAUGAAGAACGCAGCGAAAUGCGAUAAGUAAUGUGAAUUGCAGAAUUCAGUGAAUCAUCGAAUCUUUGAACGCACCUUGCGCUCCUUGGUAUUCCGAGGAGCAUGCCUGUUUGAGUGUCAUGGAAUUCUCAACCUUUGAAAGCUUUUAUUGGUUCUCAAAGGCUUGGACUUGGAGGUCGUGUCGGCUCUGCAAAGAAUAUCGACUCCUCUGAAACGUAUCAGUGCGAACCUUUACGGAUCGUCUUCGGUGUGAUAAACGUCUACGCCGUGGUCGUGAAGUAUGAUCGUGUCCGUGCUUCUAACCGUCUCCUUUGCGAGACAAAAACUGUGUUACUUACUAUAAGUAACAUAGGCAUUGACAAUCUGACCUCAAAUCAGGUAGGACUACCCGCUGAACUUAAGCAUAU
rnacentral:rRNA from 1 species